CGAUGUAACACUGUUAAAAUUUAGCACCUCGUAUCCAAAUACCUCCUUAUACGCUUGUGUCUUGAAGCAUUUUUUCUCACUCCUCACCUCUCUUUUAUACUCAUUAGAUAUUAGUUUUGUCAAAACUUUUGUUAUUCGCUCUUUGUUAACAGAGUGCCUCAAUAUACAAAGCAAGCAAUUGCAUCCAUCGUGUUUUUCGUGCUUAGGUUACAUAUUAUUAUUUACCAUAUAGGAACAAAUUGAAGUUGGUAAUAUAGACUGAGCAACCAGAGGUAGAGGUUCCUUAUGUCUAUCACAACUAUGGAUCCCCA
rnacentral:lncRNA from 1 species